rnacentral:rRNA from 1 species
AUUGAACGCUGGCGGCAGGCCUAACACAUGCAAGUCGAACGAGUGGCGGACGGGUGAGUAAUGUCUGGGAAACUGCCCGAUGGAGGGGGAUAACUACUGGAACCGGUAGCUAAUACCGCAUACCAUCGGAUGUGCCCAGAUGGUAUUAGCUAGUAGGUGGGGUAAUGGCUCACCUAGGCGACGAUCCCUAGCUGGUCUGAGAGGGGGACCAGCCCGACUGGAACUGAGGCCCGGUCCAGAGUCCUACGUGAGGCAGCGUGGGGGAAUAUUGACAAAUGGGGGCAAGCCUGAUGCAGCCAUGCCGCUUGUAUGAGGAAGGCUUUCGGGUGGUAAAGUACUUUCAGCGAGGAGGCGUUACUAGCAGAAGAAGCACCGGCUAACUCCGUGCCAGCGGCCGCGGUAAUAC